GAUGAACGCUAGCUACAGGCUUAACACAUGCAAGUCGAGGGGAAACGAUAUUGGAAGCUUGCUUCCGAUAGGCGUCGACCGGCGCACGGGUGAGUAACGCGUAUCCAACCUGCCCACCACUUGGGGAUAACCUUGCGAAAGUAAGACUAAUACCCAAUGAUGUCCAUAGAAGACAUCUGAAAUGGAUUAAAGAUUUAUCGGUGAUGGAUGGGGAUGCGUCUGAUUAGCUUGUUGGCGGGGUAACGGCCCACCAAGGCGACGAUCAGCAGGGGGUCUGAGAGGAAGGUCCCCCACAUUGGAACUGAGACACGGUCCAAACUCCUACGGGAGGCAGCAGUGAGGAAUAUUGGUCAAUGGGCGAGAGCCUGAGCCAGCCAAGUAGCGUGCAGGAUGACGGCCCUAUGGGUUGUAAACUGCUUUUAUAAGGGAAUAAAGUGAGCCUCGUGAGGCUUUUUGCAUGUACCUUAUGAAUAAGGACCGGCUAAUUCCGUGCCAGCCGCCGCAGUAA
rnacentral:rRNA from 1 species